GAGGAGAGUCUGAACCAUGUGAUCACGC
rnacentral:piRNA from 1 species